GCAAGUCGAGGGAGAAGCUGACUUCGGUCAGUGGGCACCGGCGCACGGGUGAGUAACGCGUGGAAACCUACCCCGGGGUGGGGGAUAACCGCUGGAAACGGCGGCUAAUACCGCAUACGCCUUUUAAGGGAAAGAUUUAUCGCCCUGGGAUGGGUCCGCGUUAGAUUAGGUAGUUGGUGGGGUAAAGGCCUACCAAGCCGACGAUCUAUAGCUGGUCUGAGAGGAUGAUCAGCCACACUGGGACUGAGACACGGCCCAGACUCCUACGGGAGGCAGCAGUGGGGAAUCUUGGACAAUGGGGGCAACCCUGAUCCAGCCAUGCCGCGUGAGUGAAGAAGGCCUUAGGGUUGUAAAGCUCUUUCAACGGUGAAGAUGAUGACUGUAGCCGUAGAAGAAGCCCCGGCUAACUCCGUGCCAGCAGCCGCGGUAAUACGGAGGGGGCAGGCGUUGUUCGGAAUUACUGGGCGUAAAGGGCGUGUAGGCGGCUAUUCAAGUCAGGGGUGAAAGGCCUGGGCUCAACCUGGGAACUGCCUUUGAAACUGAAUGGCUUGAGACCGGAAGAGGAUGGCGGAAUUCCCAGUGUAGAGGUGAAAUUCGUAGAUAUUGG
rnacentral:rRNA from 1 species